GACGAACGCUGGCGGCGUGCUUAACACAUGCAAGUCGAACGGUAAGGCCCUUCGGGGUACACGAGUGGCGAACGGGUGAGUAACACGUGGGUGAUCUGCCCUGCACUUCGGGAUAAGCCUGGGAAACUGGGUCUAAUACGGGAUAGGACCCUGGGAUGCAUGUCCUGGGGUGGAAAGCUUUUGCGGGGUGGGAUGGGCCCGCGGCCUAUCAGCUUGUUGGUGGGGUGAUGGCCUACCAAGGCGACGACGGGUAGCCGGCCUGCGAGGGUGACCGGCCACACUGGGACUGAGAUACGGCCCAGACGCCUACGGGAGGCAGAAGUGGGGAAUAUUGCACAGUGGGCGCAAGCCUGAUGCAGCGACGCCGCGUGAGGGAUGACGGCCUUCGGGUUGUAAACCUCUUUCAGCACCGACGAAGCGCAAGUGACGGUAGGUGCAGAAGAAGGACCGGCCAACUACGUGCCAGCCGCCGCGGUAA
rnacentral:rRNA from 1 species